rnacentral:rRNA from 1 species
GAUGAACGCUGGCGGCGUGCCUAAUACAUGCAAGUCGAGCGAACAGACGAGGAGCUUGCUCCUCUGACGUUAGCGGCGGACGGGUGAGUUACACGUGGAUAACCUACCUAUAAGACUGGGAUAACUUCGGGAAACCGGAGCUAAUACCGGAUAAUAUAUUGAACCGCAUGGUUCAAUAGUGAAAGACGGUUUUGCUGUCACUUAUAGAUGGAUCCGCGCCGCAUUAGCUAGUUGGUAAGGUAACGGCUUACCAAGGCAACGAUGCGUAGCCGACCUGAGAGGGUGAUCGGCCACACUGGAACUGAGCCACGGUCCAGACUCCUACGGGAGGCAGCAGUAGGGAAUCUUCCGCAAUGGGCGAAAGCCUGACGGAGCAACGCCGCGUGAGUGAUGAAGGUCUUCGGAUCGUAAAACUCUGUUAUUAGGGAAGAACAAAUGUGUAAGUAACUAUGCACGUCUUGACGGUACCUAAUCAGAAAGCCACGGCUAACUACGUG